ensembl:lncRNA
AGAAAAGAAAAAAAGAAAAUAGAAAUAAAAAAGAGGAACAGAAAAAUAUGAAAAAAAAAAAGAAAAAAAGAAAAGAAAAAAACAGUAGAUGAAAAAAGAAAAAACAAAAGGAAAAACGAAUAAUGACAAGAGAAGAAAGGUAAAGAGAAAAGAAGAAAAAAGCCAAGUCAAAAAGUAAAGAAUAACUCGAAGGAAGGAGUGGAUGGCAAGAAAUAGAGAGAAAGCAGUGCAUAGCACAGCAGAGCAAAGCAAGGCAAAAUAGCAGCCAAAGCCACGAGAAUCAAGAAAAAAAGCCAAGUCAAAAAGUAAAGAAUAACUCGAAGGAAGGAGUGGAUGGCAAGAAAUAGAGAGAAAGCAGUGCAUAGCACAGCAGAGCAAAGCAAGGCAAAAUAGCAGCCAAAGCCACGAGAAUCAAGAAGUCAGUGAAGAGCAGGAAAGGAAUGGAGGAAUCUGUCCAGAGCUGUGCCCCUGCUUGCCACAGGAGCUGCGCGGGAGGAGAAGAACGUGGGCCAAAAGAUUUGUUUUGCUUGCAGGUGUUCCACUUUGGCUUUGUAUGACACAGUGGACGAGAGGGGACGGCGUUCAGUGGAACAAACGCUGCAGACCCUGGGAGAAUCAAAGCAGGAGAGAGGAAACGUGCCCUUUGCAGCAGGGGCCGUUGUGCUGGCAUUGCCC